GGUUAGGGUUUUUGAAAGGUUUUGGAGGAGCCAAAGCUAAUAGGAAGGUCCAAACCUUAAGCAAGAACACCAAAGAGGUAAGUGCAAGGGCAAGGCAGAGCAGUGAGCGCUGGAGUCUUCCUUGCAAAUGUACAUGUGGACCGACCUUUUGGGAAGCCUUUUUAUUUUUGGAAAUGUUGUGUAAUUUUCCUAAACUAGGCUCACUCUAAUCUUUAUAAAACAUGUUUGUAACUAAAUGUUAAGUAUGGCCAUACGACUUUUUAAAAAGUUUUUUUUCUAUGGGUUUUUGAGA